rnacentral:rRNA from 1 species
GACGAACGCUGGCGGCGUACCUAAUACAUGCAAGUCGAACGCAGUGGGGACGGGUGAGUAAAACGUGGGUAACCUCCCAUCAGAGGGGAUAACACUUGGAAACAGGUGCUAAACCGAUACUGAUGGAUGGACCCGGGGUGCAUUAGCUAGUUGGGGAGGAAACGGCUCACCAAGGCCACGAGGCAGAGGCGACCUGAGAGUGGGAUAGGCCACACUGGGACUGAGACACGGCCCAGACUCCUGCGGGAGACAGCAGUAGGAAAUCUUCGGCAAUGGACGAAAGUCUGACCGAGCAACGCCGUGUGAGUGAAGAAGGUUUGCGGUUCGAAAAACUCUUUUUUUAGAGAAGCGGUAUCUAACCAGAAACCCCCGGCUAACUACGUGCCAGCAGCCGCGGUAAUA